AGAAUUCUAGUUAAACAUAUAAUAUAGGACUGUCAGCCCUAAGUUACUAAAUAAGUGAAUUCUG
rnacentral:tRNA from 1 species